rnacentral:snRNA from 1 species
ACAAGUGUGUACACCGAUAUUU